rnacentral:rRNA from 1 species
GUUCGAUUCUGGCUCAGGAUGAACGCUGGCGGCGUGCUUAACACAUGCAAGUCGAACGAAGCUAAGGGAGCUUGCUCCCAAAGCUUAGUGGCGGACGGGUGAGUAACGCGUGGGUAACCUGCCCUAUAGAGGGGGAUAACGUUCGGAAACGAACGCUAAUACCGCAUAAACCAUAAGGAGCUGCAUGGCUCUGAUGGCAAAGAUUUAUCGCUAUAGGAUGGACCUGCGUUGGAUUAGCUAGUUGGUGAGAUAACAGCUCACCAAGGCGACGAUCCAUAGCCGGCCUGAGAGGGUGAACGGCCACAUUGGGACUGAGACACGGCCCAAACUCCUACGGGAGGCAGCAGUGGGGAAUAUUGCACAAUGGGCGCAAGCCUGAUGCAGCGACGCCGCGUGAAGGAAGAAGGUCUUCGGAUUGUAAACUUCUAUCAGCAGGGAAGAAUAAAUGACGGUACCUGACUAAGAAGCCCCGGCUAACUACGUGCCAGCCGCCGC